rnacentral:rRNA from 1 species
GACGAACGCUGGCGGCGUGCCUAAUACAUGCAAGUCGAACGCAGGGGGGACGGGUGAGUAACACGUGGGUAACCUCCCAUCAGAGGGGAUAACACUUGGAAACAGGUGCUAAACCGAUACAGAUGGAUGGACCCGCGGUGCAUUAGCUAGUUGGUGAGGUAACGGCUCACCAAGGCCACGAUGCAUAGCCACGCUGAGAGUGUGAUCGGCCACACUGGGACUGUGACACGGCCCAGACUCCUACGGGAGUCAGCUGUAUGGAAUCUUCGGCAAUGGACGAAAGUCUGACCGAGCAACGCCGCGUGAGUGAAGAAGGUUUUCGGAUCAUAAAACUCUUUUGUUAGAGAAUCGGUAUCUAACCAGAAAGCCACGGCUAACUACGUGCCAGCCGCCGCGGUAAUAC